rnacentral:lncRNA from 1 species
UGGCUAUCUCCUCUACCAAACAGUAAAAUAAAACAAACAAAUAGUGGUGAAACAGCUACAGCAGCAACAAGAAAGGGAAAGAAAAAGAGCCAAAGAUCACAGACCAUGGAAGCCGCAAUGAAAAAUAUGAAGGAAACAGCGAGGAAAGCCUUCUAUAUCUCCCUCACGUAACCCAAACCAAAGAAGAAGAGACAAAACGUGUCAAACCCACC